CCCCGGCUUCUCCCCACACUCCUCAGAUCCUGCUAUAGCCUAGUGCAUUUUCUCCUUCCUCACUCCCUUCCCUCCAUGUGUCCUCUGCCCUGGCCACCAGGAACUUUGUGCUGCCUCCGGAGUGCAUGAGGCACUUUCACAUCUCUCUUGCUUUACAAGAGCUUCCCUAUGCUCCAACUGGCAAAUUUCUCUAUGGACUGAAAAACCCACAUAGCCUUUAUCUGUCUUGUGAUGUCUUCUCCCCACCCUCAAGUUAGGCAUACCCUUCUAUGCCCUCCUUUAUCCAAACAUUUUCCCCACUAUAUCGUAAUUGUGUGUUUAAGUGCCGGACUUUCCAACUAGAUACAAAGCUUUCCCAGGAAAGAAAUCCUUUUCUUUUCUUCUUUCUUUCUUUUCUUUUCUUUUCUUUCUUUUUUUUUUUUUUUUUUUUGAGACAGAUUCCCACUGUGUCGUCCAGGCUGGAGUGCAGUGGCACAAUCUUGGCUCAGUGCAACCUCCACCUCCAGGGUUCAAGUGAUUCUCUUGCCUCAGUCUUCCAAGUAGCUGGGAUUACAGGCACGCGCCACCACACCCAGUUAAUUAUUAUUAUUAUUAUUAUUUUUUUUUUUUUUUGAGACGGAGUCUCGCUCUGUCACCCAGGCUGGAGUGCAGUGGCACAAUCUCGGCUCACUGCAAGCUCCGCCUCCCGGGUUCACGCCAUUCUCCUGCCUCAGCCUCCCGAGUAGCUGGGACUACAGGAGCCCACCACUACGCCCGCUUAAUUUUUUUUUUUUUUUGUAUUUUUAGUAGAGACGGGGUUUCACCGUGGUCUCGAUCUCCUGCCCUCGUGAUCCGCCCGCCUCGGCCUCCCAGAGUGCUGGGAUUACAGGCGUGAGCCACUGCGCCCGGCCUCCACACCCAGUUAAUUUUUGUAUUUUUAGUAGAGACGGGGUUUCACCAUGUUGGCCAGGAUGGUCUCAAUCUCUUGACCUUGUGAUCUGGCUGCCUCGGCCUCCCAAAGUGCUGGGAUUACAGGCGUGAGCCACCGCUCCCGGCGAGAAACCUUUUCUUUUUCUUUUUUCUUCUUCUUCGUCUUUUUUUUUUUUUCUUUUGAGAGGGAUUCCUGUUCCGUCGCCCAGGCUGGAGUGCAAUGGCGCGAUCUUGGCUCACUACAGCCUCUGCCUCCCGGGUUCAAGCGAUUCUCUUGCCUCAGCCUCCCGAGUAGCUGGGAUUACAGGCACGAGCCACCACGCCCGGCUAGUUUUUUUUGGUAUUUUUAGUAGAGACGGGGUUUCGCCAUGAUGGCCAGGCUGGUCUGGAACUCCCGACCUCAGGUGAUCCGCCCACCUCUGCCUCUCAAAGUGCAGGGAUUACAGGCAUGAGCCACUGCGCCCAGCCAAGAAACCAUUUCUGAUUCACCUAUUCACUCCCGCACUCCCACUACACAGUAGCUAAAUAAAUAAAUAAAUAUUAAAAAUAAAUAGGAAAGAAAGAGAGAAAAAAAGAAAAGAAAAAGACAAAAAUUUAAAUUUAAAAAGGUUGUGCUCGAUGGCUCACACUUGCAACCCCAGUGCUUUGGGAGGCUGAAUGAAGCAAGAGGAUCGCUUGAGGCCAGGAGUUUGAGAUCGGCCUGAGCAACGUUGCAGCAUUGCAAAACCCCC
rnacentral:lncRNA from 1 species